UACGUAGGGACCAAGCGUUGUUCGGAUUUACUGGGCGUAAAGGGCGCGUAGGCGGCGCGGUAAGUCACUUGUGAAAUCUCUGAGCUUAACUCAGAACGGCCGAGUGAUACUGCAGUGCUAGAGUGUGGAAGGGGCAAUCGGAAUUCUUGGUGUAGCGGUGAAAUGCGUAGAUAUCAAGAGGAACACCUGAGGUGAAGACGGGUUGCUGGGCCAACACUGACGCUGAGGCGCGAAAGCCAGGGGAGCAAACGGG
rnacentral:rRNA from 1 species